rnacentral:rRNA from 1 species
UGGGGAAUAUUGGACAAUGGGCGCAAGCCUGAUCCAGCCAUGCCGCGUGAGUGAUGAAGGCCUUAGGGUUGUAAAGCUCUUUUGUCCGGGACGAUAAUGACGGUACCGGAAGAAUAAGCCCCGGCUAACUUCGUGCCAGCAGCCGCGGUAAUACGAAGGGGGCUAGCGUUGCUCGGAAUCACUGGGCGUAAAGGGCGCGUAGGCGGCCAUUCAAGUCGGGGGUGAAAGCCUGUGGCUCAACCACAGAAUUGCCUUCGAUACUGUUUGGCUUGAGUUUGGUAGAGGUUGGUGGAACUGCGAGUGUAGAGGUGAAAUUCGUAGAUAUUCGCAAGAACACCAGUGGCGAAGGCGGCCAACUGGACCAACACUGACGCUGAGGCGCGAAAGCGUGGGGAGCAAACAG